GAGAGAAGCAACAAAAUCUGUAAAUUUUUGCAUAAAUAUAUAAUGUAUGUACAAUGCAUGAUGUAAAAAUUGAAGCUUUCUAUCAAUAGUGAAUACAUGACUACACGUUCAAUGUACAAUGCACACUGAGCAAUUCAUAUACCCUAUAACUUGUGUACUUUACAUGUAUUAUUUUAAUUUUUCAAAGCUUUCCAUUCAGAUCCAUUCUAACAAUCGUACAUGACAUUUUGUGUACUGUACUACAUAUGAUGUAUUGUAUGGUCAUUUUUUGUGCACUUCAUAAAAUGUUCAUAUUUUUAUUUCAUUACAGGUACAUUCAGAUCAAUCAUAUGCUUACAACAUGCAAUUGCAUCAUAAUAGUUGCAUGUAUGUAAACAUAUUCUCUUAUGUUGACGAAAUAAUGUAAUAAAUUGCAUAUUUAAUUUAGUAUGUGUAUUAACCCCUAUAUGCAAGGUUUAAUAAACAGCAUCGCAUAUUUUGUGAAUGCAAAAAUCAAUAAUUGGGUCUAACUAAAAAUCUAACACAUUUUUGUAAAGAUGAAGCCUGGCAAGAGGAAAUUAAAUUGAAUUUAUCUGUAAAUGAUUGCUUGGCAAGGAAAUAUUUCAUUUUCUGACUGGAUAGCUGUGUUAUUGAUUGCAUGAAUCAGCUACUGAGCUAACAUUCCUAUGGUUUAUUUUUAGCUUGUUGAUGAGGAAUGCAACAGGCCCUAGUAAACAAGGGAAUCAAUACACAGAGAAAGUCAAUGUCCUACACUCAACUUCUCAUGGUGUCAUCUAAUAGAAGGAUUUGUCAUCCCUUGCAAAAAUUCUUUGAUCUAAAAAAAUUGUAUAAAAGUGAUUGUCCAUAAAUUGGACCAUUAUUUCUUUUUUCAAGUAUUUGGUUUUAUUUCACUUUUUUGUGCUCUGUAGUCUAUGAUAUAAUUACACAUUAUGAAGUAUGUAGUAGGGUUAAGGUUUUUUUGUUAAAAUGGAAACAUUUCUUCCUUUCUAGUCCAAGCCAUAGGACAGAUAUUUGAAACAGGAACCAAAUCCAAAGACAUGAUAGAUAACAGAUAUCUAACUUCCUUCUAUACACAUAUAUAUAACAUGUAUAUUGUAACCCCUUAAAAUCAGGAUGUGUAUUUACCUUGUUUUAAAUACACAACAUUAUAAUCUUUGUAUUCACUUCCUUUUCAACUUGGACAUAACAAGCAUUUCCUUUUAUACAUCCUAGGUGCAUAUAAAUGAUUAAAUACAAUAUUAGUACAAUGUGCUCUUCGGACAUUGCACAAUCAGCGGAAAAUGUUGGGUUUUUUUUAUUCCAUUACGCGAAUCUUUAACAAAAUGUAUUUUUUAUUGCUAUAGCAACAGAACUGAAUGUAUAUUUUUUUUUCUUUCAUUUAAAUAUUUUUUAACAGGAAGUUUGACCCAUAUGACCUCUGCAUGAUAUCCCCAUCAUCCCAUUAAUUCAGUACAAAGGUCAGCUGUCUGGAUUUAUUUUAGGAUAAUGAUGACAUUGCAUGUUCUACUAAUUAUCGAUUCAUGACAAUCUAAUAUUUCUUAUAUAAUAAAUCAAUCAUUGAACAUGCCAAUCAUAUAAAUGUUUGUUAUGUGUCAUAAUUUGGAAGUAUUAUAUCUACAAAUGUACAUGCACAUAUAGGAAAGUAUUAGUUUUAAUACUUUAUCCUCAUUUUAAAGUAUUUUCAUCAGCUUUAAAUUUAGAUAUAAAUAUUUCUGAUUUUGUAUUAUGAAAUUUUCACCAAAAUUGAGACAUGAAACAAACUUUUUUAUUUAAAGGUAGAAAUGAGAUUUAAAAAUAAAUAUAUUUGAAAUAGCAAAAAGAAGGAUCUGUGUUAAAUUUCUUUUUUUUAUUUUUAAAUUCUUUUGUACUGAAAUUUAUAAAUCCAAUAGAUUUCCUUUGAAGCAAUUACCUGAGAAUUGCCACCUCAUUGUUCUAUAACACUUUCUUUGUUCAGGUAUGACUCACCUGGUGAAACACCUUUGUUCAGGCAGGUUAUGGGGAAUUGAAUUAGAGCGAAACAGUUUUUAGAACGAAAACGGCAUGGUUAUACUGAUGCAACUUUUUGUAAUGUACUUUUGGCAGAUGACGCAAUGUGUAAUCGGUGACGGUACAUUUAAAAAAGCAGGAACUGGAAAAUAGGUCGAUGAAUGGAAGGAUGGUUACUUACACUAGCUGAAAUAAAAACAAAAUAAUUGAAUUUCCUAUAUAUACACGUGUCAUUUUUUAGGAGAAUGAAACAUGAUAAUAGAAGAGAAAAUUUGAAGUAAAUAAUAGUAUAGCCCUGUUACAAAAUAACUUUUUUUAACAAAAUUUUCUCAUGCAAGUUGGAGAUUUGAGGCGAUAAGUGUUAGUCACAUUUGUAAAUGUCUUAUUUUUUUAAUUGAAUUACACGAAAUCGGCUGACAAGCAUGACACGUAAAUAUUAGUAGUAACUGAAUCAUUGACAACCUUGACAGAAAUGAAAAGAUAUUUCAGACCUCAGGCAAAAUUAAAAAAAAUAUGAAUCUCAGGAAAUAGGCCGUGCAAUGAAUCAAAUCAAAUCAAAUCAAAUCAAUGUUUUAUUAAAGUCUCAUCUCACAACAAGUACAAUCAAUAUUUAUACAUUGUAAAACAAUACUAAAUAAAAUGAGAGCCAUUCUUUACAGAAUAUUAGAGACUAUUAAAAUGCAUAGAUAUAAUACAUUAAACAAUAUGAAAUAAAAUAUUAUUUACAAUAAAUAUGAAUGGUAAGUAGUAAU